rnacentral:rRNA from 1 species
AAAUCUGGUGGAGGUCCGUAGCGGUCCUGACGUGCAAAUCGGUCGUCCGACCUGGGUAUAGGGGCGAAAGAGCUAAUCGAACCAUCUAGUAGCUGGUUCCCUCCGAAGUUUCCCUCAGGANUAGCUGGCACUCGUACCUCAGUUUUAUCCGGUAAAGCUAAUGACUAGAGGCAUUGGGGCCGAAACGANUCUCAACCUAUUCUCAAACUUUAAAUGGGUAAGAAGCCCGGCUCGCUGGCUUGGAGCCGGGCAUGGAAUGAGAGUGCCUAGUGGGCCACUUUUGUAAG